rnacentral:tRNA from 1 species
GGUGGCUCAGUGGUAGAGCUCUUGCCUUGCAUGCAUGAGGUCCUGGGUUCAAUUCCUCAGCACCA